rnacentral:rRNA from 1 species
AUGAAAUUCUAUCUAGAUGCCAACACCCUCUUCUUCGAGAGACCUGAACACGCAGACAAUAGAUCCACCGCCAUCUUCAUCCACAUGGCCGAGAUCGAGGCAUUCGACUAUCCUGAUGAGCUCUGGCACCCUGAGGGGGCAGAGUACUUCUUCUCCCACCUUGGUGACUUUGUCUCCGCUGACCAACAUUGCUUCCAGGGCGACCUCUCCAGCGUCCGUGCUCUCGUCAUGGUUGCUCGCGACUUCGUCCUCCCACCCUGCCUCAUGGUGCGCCUGCCUGACAACGAUGUCGCUAUCGUCAAGCUGGAGAGCCGCGCGCUCUUCCGGCACGGCUCUGGGGCCUCUCCCUUCUCCUCUGAGAACGGGGACAGCGACUCACAAGUUUCCAACCCUCCUCUGUCUCCCAACACCAUCUCCCACAUACGCAGCAUCGCCACUGCCAUGUCCCCAUUCGCCUGCACUCCGGAGUCGCCAUCGGGCCCUCCUCCUUCUCCUUCGGCGGAUCGGCCUCUUGAUGGCAUCCCGAUCCUUGCUGUCAUGGCGGAUGGCAUGUCGGUCGCUAUGCUAGUCCACGCUCCAUGGACUCCUCCCGCUCGCUCACCCUCUCCUGCCCUGACGCGGGCACGCGCUCACCUCUCUCGCCCCCUGCUCGCACUGCCAGCACCACCUUCCCCGCCUCCUCAGCCGCAUGAUCCAUCCCCUCCACCUUCCCCACCUGCCCCUCCGGCACCUCUCCCUACGGUCGUUCCUGCCGUACAGCCUCUGGACCUGCCUCCUGAGCCGCCACACGAGUGUCUGGCCAGGCGCAUUAGCAGGCGCGCGAAGAUGGCUGCCGACUCUGGCAUUAAGGCCAGGCACAGCGCUCGUCUGGCCGAGAUCGACCCUCCUAUCUACUCCACUAUGACUGCCAAGGCCAUGUGCUUCAAGGCCAAGAAGCUCGACCUGUCCGCGGCAUCCAAGGAUCUCUCUGACGCUCUCAUCCAUGCUCGUCUCUGCGAUGAGACGGGGUUCAUCGACGGCACCGCUCACGGUCUGGCAUCGCCGGAGGAGCUGGCUGCCGUUGCUGCUGCCUGUGGUGCUUCGCCUGAGAUGGUCAAUGACAUUGCUUCGGGCUCCGGUGAUAUGGGAUCUCCAUGA